UACGGGAGGCAGCAGGGGGGAAUAUUGCACAAUGGGCGCAAGCCUGAUGCAGCCAUGCCGCGUGUAUGAAGAAGGCCUUCGGGUUGUAAAGUACUUUCAGUCGUGAGGAAGGUGUUAAGGUUAAUAACCUUAGCAAUUGACGUUAGCGACAGAAGAAGCACCGGCUAACUCCGUGCCAGCAGCCGCGGUAAUACGGAGGGUGCGAGCGUUAAUCGGAAUUACUGGGCGUAAAGGGCACGCAGGCGGUUAAUUAAGUUGGAUGUGAAAUCCCCGGGCUUAACCUGGGAAUGGCAUUCAAGACUGGUUAGCUAGAGUCUUGUAGAGGGGGUAGAAUUCCGAUGUGUAGCGGUGAAAUGCGUAGAGAUGUGGAGGAAUACCGGUGGCGAAGGCGGCCCCUGGACAAAGACUGACGCUCAUGUGCGAAAGCGUGGGGAGCGAAACAGGGAUUAGAUACCC
rnacentral:rRNA from 1 species